GAGUGAGCAGCUUAGUGGCCAUAGCUUUGCAAAAGCUAAUGAGAAGCGUUUACGCUUCCUCACUCU
rnacentral:tRNA from 1 species